UUUGGUUAGGAGGAAGCAUGGCCUUCCUUUUAUGCUACCUGCAAUGCUGAAGAGUCCAGAUUGAGAAAUGUGUGUGUUUCAGGCUCAAUCAGUGUAAGUGUUUAAAGUUUGGUUUGUUCUUGGGUUUUUUUGAGUUGACUUUAUAUAUGAUUUGUAAUUUGUUUCUCAUGUUUGCUUCAGGUUGAAUGCAUUUUUUAACAUGCUACCCCUAGAAGGACUCUUUUAUAACAUUUUUAACAUGUAUUCUAGAAGGACUCUUUUAUACUAGUAGUUUUACUACUGGUAUGCUCAUUGUGUGAAUAUGGGAAGCAUUGUGUGAAUGCUAAGAUUGCUACUUCACACCCUAUUGUGGACUCCUUGGGAUUAUACACUCAAGUCAGGAACGUUUGCCUGGAAGCACGUGGUGGAUGGUGGUUGAUGGUGGUUCGUUUGGACAACAUGUGUAUCUUCAUCAUCAUCAUCAUCUUCGUCAUCAUCUUCAACAGCAUCGUCGUCAAUCAACGACAAGUACAAUAAUCAUCCAUCAAAAGACAUCCGGGUCUCACAUUGGACACCGUGCAGGUUUACUUUUCAUCCAUAAUUCACACCUUCUGCUCCAAAUGGGUCUGUUUAUACAAGUUUUUGGGCCUGCUGAUUUCUUUUGUUUGUUUGUUUUUUUACUUGCCCUUAUUGUUCAUGCCAUUUUCUAAUUUCCAAUAAUAAUUUUGUAAACCCCAUCUGUGUGGUUAUUAUUGAAGGUACCUAUAGUGGUUGGUGGUCCCCUCCCUCAAAAUAUUUUGUAGCGGCCCCUUCUUUGAAAGAGAGGGGGAACGGUUGCAAUGUAUUGAUAUACAGUAUUUUGGGGAUUUUUUUUUUUUUUUUUUUUUUUCUUUUCUGAAAAAAAAAAAAAUACAAUAAAACAGGAAUUAAAGCUGAUUGGUCCAGAAGCUCCUCUUGUUGCUGUAGCUGGUGAAGAUCAGGGGCCCAUUUCAGUAAGGAAGUUCAACCAACUCUGAGUUUAAACUUGAACUCUGAGUUGACUUACUCUGAGAAACUGAGUUUUCAGUUACAGAACAGCUGAAAUGAGUUAGUUCAGUCAACUCUAAGUAGGUUGACUCUGAGUUAAGCGCAUGCACCACGACUAUAAAAAGCCAUGAUCAAUAGAGUGCAGAUAUUAUGAGUCACCAUGGCAACAGCACCCUGAAAAAGUAACUUGUGAUGCAAUUACAUUAAAUACAGAAUUUUUUUACGAAUUAAAAGUACAGUUUUGUGUCUAUCCUUGUAUUGUGGUUGAGGUUGAUAUGGGAUUUAUAAAGCAAUUAGUAAUAAAUAAUCCAGUACUUUUUAGGGAGAGUAAUUAUCACAUUAAUCUACUUUUUUUUAGAGUAACUUACCCAACACUGCUGUAAUAUCAUAAGUGAAACUAGAAGAACAGUACAUUAUUGAACCUAAUUUUUCAUGUAGGUGCAAUCCUGUAGGCAUAAAAAGAACAUGGCAGCAACUAAAUAUGAAAUCUAAAAACAUAAUUCAAUCAGGUAAGGCUUGAGCAUAUCAUUGGUGUAGGCUACCCGAAUUUACAGACAUUUGACAUUAAAUAACUAAAUAGCAUCCAGUGUCUUGCAGUGCAGCAGCAUUUUUGACAUGGGUGUAAUGCUGUUUUCACACGAUUAAAUGUUCAUUCUUAUUUGACUUCUACUUAGCCAACAGAAAGAAGGCAGAGGCUCGCAAAACUGGAGGGGGGACCUGCACCACCCCCACUCACAAAUACAGAGGAAAUGGCCUUGAGCCUGAACACUGGAAGGCCAGUGGCAGAGGGAAUUCCAGGAGGGAGUUCAUCAGAGCCAGUCACUCCCCAGGAUACAAGUGCCUUCAUAAAAUAUUCUGAUGGUAAUAUCUGCCUUUUGGAGCCUCCUGUCAUAACAGAACCCUAGGCAGUUGAAGAUGAGGAUGAUGAAACCACUUCUGCCACAGAGAGGCCUACAGAGAGUGUGGAAGAACAGCAUGAGGAGGGUCCACCAAAUUCUGCUGCACAGAUGAACACAUUACCAGUUAAGGAGUUAUAUAGACUUCAUCUUAUUCAAAAAAUCGAAAAAAACAGCAAAGAAAUUAUACUUGGACCGCCAGAUCCAAAAAGGCAGCUCUGGAAAUCGACAUCCUGAAAGAAAAGCUAAAGGUGAGAGUAUGGUCACAGGUGAAUUGUAUGAAUUAUUGGAAAAAUUUGAAAAUCUAACAGUUGCUUUUG